rnacentral:rRNA from 1 species
UACGUAGGGGGCAAGCGUUGUCCGGAAUUAUUGGGCGUAAAGAGCGUGUAGGCGGUCCGGUAAGUCAGCUGUGAAAGUCAAGGGCUCAACCCUUGAAAGCCGGUUGAUACUGUCGGGCUAGAGUCCGGAAGAGGCGAGUGGAAUUCCCGGUGUAGCGGUGAAAUGCGCAGAUAUCAGGAGGAACACCAAUGGCGAAGGCAGCUCGCUGGAACGGAACUGACGCUGAGGCGCGAAAGCGUGGGGAGCGAACAGG